UUGGAGGGCAAGUCUGGUGCCAGCAGCCGCGGUAAUUCCAGCUCCAAUAGCGUAUAUUAAAGUUGUUGCAGUUAAAAAGCUCGUAGUUGAACUUCGGGGUCUACCCAUUGGUCAGGCUUAAUUGUCUGCACUGGUGAGAUGGAUCUCUACCUUCUGAGGAACUUUCAUGCCAUUUAUUUGGUGUGAUGGGAAAUCAGGACUGUUACUUUGAAAAAAUUAGAGUGUUUAAAGCAGGCAUACGCUUGAAUACAUUAGCAUGGAAUAAUGAAAUAGGACGUUUGAUUUUAUUUUGUUGGUUUCUAGGAUCGACGUAAUGAUUAAUAGGGAUAGUUGGGGGCAUUAGUAUUCAAUUGUCAGAGGUGAAAUUCUUGGAUUUAUUGAAGACUAACUACUGCGAAAGCAUUUGCCAAGGAUGUUUUCAUUAAUCAAGAACGAAAGUUAGGGGAUCGAAGACGAUCAGAUACCGUCGUAGUCUUAACCAUAAACUAUGCCGACUAGGGAUCGGAUGAUGUUAUUUUUUAUGACUCAUUCGGCGCCUUACGGGAAACCAAAGUGUUUGGGUUC
rnacentral:rRNA from 1 species